rnacentral:rRNA from 1 species
AACGAACGCUGGCGGCAUGCCUAACACAUGCAAGUCGAACGAGACCUUCGGGUCUAGUGGCGCACGGGUGCGUAACGCGUGGGAACCUGCCCUUAGGUUCGGAAUAACUCCCCGAAAGGGGUGCUAAUACCGGAUAAUGUCUUCGGACCAAAGAUUUAUCGCCUUUGGGUGGGCCCGCGUUGGAUUAGCUAGUUGGUAGGGUAAAAGCCUACCAAGGCGACGAUCCAUAGCUGGUCUGAGAGGAUGAUCAGCCACACUGGGACUGAGACACGGCCCAGACUCCUACGGGAGGCAGCAGUGGGGAAUAUUGGACAAUGGGCGAAAGCCUGAUCCAGCAAUGCCGCGUGAGUGAUGAAGGCCUUAGGGUUGUAAAGCUCUUUUACCCGGGAUGAUAGUGACAGUACCGGGAGAAUAAGCUCCGGCUAACUCCGUG